GGCACCUUUGAGUAAAUAUACAGCCUUCAUUCUGACUACGACAAUUAUCUUUUUAGUAGAUCUAUUCUCUUCAUGAGCAACAAGAUAGUUUAACAUAGGGGGGUAGCUAGCCACCCAAUCCACCCCACCCCAAAUCCGCCACUGAUGUAGUAAGGUUGUGAGUAGAGAUAUCUCAAUAGACAUAUGUCGAUACGAGGACCAGUCUACGCUGGAUGACUGUGUGAACAUGGUUGAAUCAAGAGAUCAAAUAUUCGUUUAAAAUCAAUGAAAAAUAAAUUCACGCUAAACCCUAAAUAAAAUAUAAUGGUUUACGGUAAAUAAACAGAUGCUUUCACGCUAACGCUAAUUUCUAUCAGGGUAUCACGAGUCUGACUGACUGACUCUCUCUCUAUAUAUAUAUCUCUCGCCCUCUCUCUCUCUCUCUCUCUGCGAUAAAAAAAUGUUUGGUGAAAUCAUGUGUACCCAACUGCGUAUCUGCGUUAUGGUAGCUACGCCCCUUACAGUAUAACGUAUGUACAGGAACUUCCGACUCAUUGACAGUGUUCAUCUACCAACUCGAUCCAUGGCCAUACCAGUGACGCUAAAAACACAAUUGAAUUAAUGGGCUAACAAAAAUUCCUAUUUGGUGAAUCCUUAGUAAACAAUUACAGGAAAAUUACUAUUGAAAUAAUAUCCUAUCAAUAGCAGAUGCCACUGACUGACAAACUAUACUACAUCAGCAAUUAUGACAAUAGCAACUUGAUCAAUCAUUGACCCGUGUCAUUCUAAACAUUCCGUCAAUGCAAACACAAUCUUUAUCACUAAGACAUCACACUGGCUAGUAUAAUUCACGUUUAUAACAAAACACAUUCAAUUUACAAAUCAUCAUCCACAUUAUGUAACCGUCUUGCAAUACCAAUGAAAUGGCUACCAUGCCAUUUUCACCCAUUUGCCGUCUGCUCAGUACGACGGGAUUAUCCUGCAUUUUACAGUGUAUAGUUUAGGGAAACAUACACUUAUUUACGUUCUAAGACCCUUUAGGGACAAGAUCAUAUAGUUUUCAACAGAAAAACACUCACCCUAACGUCGAUGAUUAGAGAUUAUAAUCGGCAGUUCGAUGCAUACAAAGAUCCUGCUAAUGCCACUACAUCUUUGAAAUUUUUGUAUACUUUAAAUUAUUUCAUGGAACAAAUAUUGCCUGACAUAUCCGCUAAUCUCAAAAGAUUUCACUGAUCAGUUGAUGCCUCAAAUUUUCUUAUUAAUUAAUUUAUGCCUCACAUUGUCUCACUAAUAAAAUGGUGGCCGUUAUUGUUGUACUAAUCCAAACACAAAAUAUUUCCUAAAUUGUUACACUAAUGCACUGUCAUUGACAGUAAUGCCAGAAACGAAAGUAAACUGAGGAAAAGGGAAAUUUAAAGUAUAUGCUGUAUGUCUCUUCAGAAAGUGCAAAAAGUUAGGAUUAGUAUUGAAAUCCGUAAAUAUUUGAUAGAAAGCUAAACACAGCUCUAGACUGGUGUGGAGGCAAGAGUCAGGCCAUUUAUCAUGCAAGGCUAGAUAGACUUGACAUAACAGUCAAGUGUAGCAUGAUGCCUGCGUAGAUGGCCACGUGACACUGGUGGCGUAUAUAUUGCAUUUUUCUUAACUAUUCCUUAAUUGUUGCUGGGUGCCAGAGAGAAGAUAAACAAUUCCAUGUAGUCUGCUAUGGCAACAGCUUCCGUUUAGAGGCACUUCUUCACAUCUUGUAGAGAGUAAUAUGAAAGUAGAUUUUUUUACUGCCACCACAAGCUAUUUACAUAAGGUGCUGCAGCAUAAUAUAUAUAUAUAUAUAUAUAUAUAUAUAUGCAUAACAUUUUAAUUGCCAAAUAUGAACGGAUUGCCCAGAGAUACCAGAGGAAAGACUACCUAUGAUGUCAACAAGGUUAGGCUGAUAGCAACAAGGUUAGACAGAAGGCAACAAGGUUAGGUUGAUGGCAACAAGGUUAGGUUGAUGACAACAAGGUUAGGCUGAUGGCAACAAGGUUAGGCUGAUGUCAACAAUGUUAGGUUGAUGUCAACAAUGUUAGGCUGAUGGCAAAAAAGGUUAGGCGGAUGGCAACAAGGUUAGGCUGAUGUCAACAAUGUUAGGCUGAUGGUUUGGUAACGUGAACCCCACGUUGAAAUGUUCUGGAAUUAGACGGACUCGUGUAGUAAGUCCGCCAGGAGGACAGAUGGAAUUUACUUAGCAUUUCCUCACAACUCUCAUUCACACACGGCCUUCCUCGUGUGUAUCUCUUCAUAAUCUUAAAUUAUCAUAUCUAUAUUACGAAAAGCACGUGCACAACUAUAUUUAAUAUAUUUAAUAAUCUUUGCUAAAUUAUAUAUAUACACCAUAAUAUAUUCUACGUACAUUCCAUGCACACAUGCUAUCUCACGUUCCCCUCAUGCAUCUGCUAAUAACACCUAGAGUUCAUGAGGUGGUUAUUACUAACACGUGUUUCCAUACUUGGCAGCUAUACGAGCGUGUGUGUGCGUGCGUGCACGUGCACCCCGUGCAUGACAGCUUUAAUUGUGCGUACAGGUGGCACUGCGUGCGCAUUACGAUCCUUCCCCUCGCUUCGCCUUGAUUCGAUGCAUGAUGGUAUAACAUUAGUUGUGUUUUUGAUUUGUCGGUGAAGGGUUGGUAAUAUGUUAAUGAUGUGACUGAGAUGAGUAGCUAGUCUAGCGGUGCUGGUAUUGUACUGUUGUCUGUAUUACUGCAGAUGUUGUAGUGAAGAGCAAUGAAUAGAUUGUCGUACAUCUAGUUUGACUGAUGAUGAUGAUGAUGAUGAUGACGACGACGACGACGAUGGUGACGAUGAGGAUGAUGAUGACGGUGAUGAUGAUCAUGACCAUUACGAUGAUGGUGAUGAGACUGAUGAUGAUCAUGGCCAUUACCAUGAUGAUGAUGAUGAUAAUGAUGGUGAUGAUGGUGACGAUGGUUAUUAUUAAGAUAAUUACAAGGAGACGUGUAAUCUGAGGUUUUGAUAUUAAGCAGCCAUGCGGGUUAACUUUUUGACAUCCAUUCUACGGUAUAUCUACAAACUCGAGUGUUUUUCGAGAGAGUUUCGCCAUUUGUUUCGUGUAUGACAUUGUUCAACAGUAGCCUGUAACUUAUAAGUAGACGGAUGUGUUGUUUACCAUGUUUACUCUUACAUAAUCCCCGGUAAGCUUCAGCCUAUUGCUCACGUAACUAUUCAUAACAGUGUGAUUCUAUGAUGAAUCGUAUAUGAAUCUAUUAUAUAUUGAUUAUUAUUUUGCGUAUAUUAUUGGACGUGUAACUGAUAUUUUUUGCCAUCUGUAAUGCUUCUAUUCCUGUGUGGGAGUACGUAGUCAUCAGGCGAUAUAAACACAAGGUUUUGGCUUCACGCCAACGUUGAUUA